UACGGGGGGGGCAAGCGUUGUUCGGAAUUACUGGGCGUAAAGCGCGCGUAGGCGGCUUUUCAAGUCAGACGUGAAAGCCCCAGGCUUAACCUGGGAAUUGCGUUUGAUACUGUGCGGCUAGAGUGCGGAAGGGGCAACUGGAAUUCUUGGUGUAGCGGUGAAAUGCGUAGAUAUCAAGAGGAACACCUGCGGCGAAGGCGGGUUGCUGGGCCGACACUGACGCUGAUGCGCGAAAGCUAGGGGAGCGAACGGG
rnacentral:rRNA from 1 species